rnacentral:lncRNA from 1 species
GGAAGUGUCACACAGUCUCCAGACCUCCUGUGAUCUCUGCUGCCCUCUUCACAGGGUGGGCAGGCCCUGAGCAGCAGAUCCAGGCAGCUGAAAGAUGUCAUGGCAGUGUCCUCCCUCACAGGCUCCUCUGCAGGGCUACAUAAACUUCAACCAUGCCCCAGCUCUCAUUGCUCCUGGGAGAAACGCUACAGAGGAACAGGAAGCUUCACUGAGCAUGGAGCAAGCUCUCCCAAGGGAAACACCAGUUCUUUUCUUCAUCUGUACUAACCGACCCUGCAAAAGACAGGGUGGCUUCACCUCCUGAGCACAUCAAAUGCCAUUUACUUGCAUCUCUUCUUGAGGCUUAUUGCCUCCAAUGUAACUUCAUUUCAAGAAAAAUACCCCAAACUCUUAAAGCUGAAAAACAUUGAAGCAAUUCACUGGUCACUUGUUCCAUCUUGCAGCAGCCACCCUUCUCCAGCAGGUCCACAGGCACAUGCAGUAUCUCGCAAAGCUCCAGACCACCUUUUCCCUGCCCACUAAUAGGUGCCAAGAGCUCCAUUCUGCAGAACUUCCAGCCAAAAGAAUGAUAUUCCCAGCACGCACAGUGGACUGGCACUGUUGGGCAUCAGAGGUUAACCUUUCAGCCCACGUCAAGGCCUUCUCUCAUGGAUUUUCAAAAUCAAGCUUACUGCGUAGAUGCAAAAACCAAACAUAGAACAUGUGAGCUGAAUUAUUUCUGAGAAACCUCACUAUACUUAAAUAUGGCACGUAACCAAGGGGAAAACAAUGAAAAAUAAUGGAAAAACCUAUACAGUUUUUCUGAAUUAUGAAGCCUGGUGUGGCUUUUUGCAGGUGAAAUCCCAAACCAUAAAAAGGUUGGUAAGAAGACUCACUUGUCCAUUCUUUGCUUCUCCUCUGCCACAGGUAUCUCAGUCCUCAGAUAUUUUCCUGAUGCUGCAAAAAAUGAGUGUUAAUGUUAGGUGCUCUGUGAAAAUUCACAGUCAGAAGGACUCCAGGAACAGUGAUCAAAAGAAAGAUGGUUUUUCACCCCAACAGCCUAGCCACAGACGGCUUUACAGUUGUCCCUUCUAUUCUGGGAGGGCUAACUUACCACAAAGGCCCUUGGACAAGAUGAAAAUAUGAUCUUUGGCUCUGCUAAAAGCAAUCAGCAGAAUAAAAGAGGAGCCUGCACUGAGAAGAACUCAAGGAAGCAUUUGGGACAGUUUUUAAGGCAAAAGGAGAUGAAACAGGUGGGGAAGAAGAGGAAAA